AUCCUUGCGGAAGGGGCAAAAUCGUUGCACGUGACGCCUAGCGGAUGCGCGAUAAUUGCUAGUUGAAAACUACUCCAAUUCCCGUUCGAAGUUAACUCUUCGGCAAUUUUUGGAACCCACGG
rnacentral:snRNA from 1 species